rnacentral:rRNA from 1 species
AUUGAACGCUGGCGGCAUGCUUUACACAUGCAAGUCGAACGGUAACAGGGUGCUUGCACCGCUGACGAGUGGCGAACGGGUGAGUAAUGCGUCGGAACGUGCCGAGUAGUGGGGGAUAACGCAGCGAAAGUUGUGCUAAUACCGCAUACGUACUGAGGUAGAAAGUGGGGGACCUUCGGGCCUUACGCUAUUGGAGCGGCCGACGUCUGAUUAGCUAGUAGGUGGGGUAAAGGCUCACCUAGGCGACGAUCAGUAGCGGGUCUGAGAGGAUGAUCCGCCACACUGGGACUGAGACACGGCCCAGACUCCUACGGGAGGCAGCGGUGGGGAAUUUUGGACAAUGGGCGAAAGCCUGAUCCAGCCAUGCCGCGUGUCUGAAGAAGGCCUUCGGGUUGUAAAGGACUUUUGUCAGGGAGGAAAUCCCUAGUGCUAAUAACACUGGGGGAUGACAGUACCUGAAGAAUAAGCACCGGCUAACUACGUGCCAGCCGCCGCCGUAA